rnacentral:rRNA from 1 species
UACGAAGGGGGCUAGCGUUGCUCGGAAUCACUGGGCGUAAAGCGCACGUAGGCGGCUUUUUAAGUCGGUGGUGAAAUCCUGGAGCUCAACUCCAGAACUGCCUCCGAUACUGAAAGGCUUGAGUCCGGGAAGAGGUGAGUGGAACUGCGAGUGUAGAGGUGAAAUUCGUAGAGUAUUCGCAAGAACACCAGUGGCGAAGGCGGACUCACUGGCC